UACGGAGGGUCCAAGCGUUGUCCGGAAUUAUUGGGCGUAAAGAGCUCGUAGGCGGUUUGUUGCGUCGGCUGUGAAAUCCCGAGGCUCAACCUCGGGUCUGCAGUCGAUACGAGCAAACUAGAGUGUUGCAGGGGAGACUGGAAUUCCUGGUGUAGCGGUGAAAUGCGCAGAUAUCAGGAGGAACACCGGUGGCGAAGGCGGGUCUCUGGGCAACAACUGACGCUGAGGAGCGAAAGCGUGGGGAGCGAACAGG
rnacentral:rRNA from 1 species